CAUAGUAUUGUCUCUAAGUGGAAUCUAUACCCAUAGCAUUGUCUCUAAGGGGAAGCUGGUCCCAUAGCAUUGUCUCUAAGGGGAAGCUGGUCCCAUAGCAUUGUCUCUAAGGGGAAGCUGGUCCCAUAGCAUUGUCUCUAAGGGGAAGCUGGUCCCAUAGCAUUGUCUCUAAGGGGAAGCUGGUCCCAUAGCAUUGUCUCUAAUUCCUGGUGGGCUGUGUCGUUUGUCUGCAGAUUUUUUCUCUUUCCUUUCGACAACCAGGUGAAAGGAGUCCCUAACUAAUCAAUGACCUUAAUUGAUCAAUCAAGUAUAAGGGAGGAGCGAAAACCCUCAGAAACUCCUCCCUCCAGCAACUAAGUGUGCCACACCCCCAAAGGAUUUAUCCCAAUGGAAAGUGUUCAACCUCUUACUUAGACACCCUCGGACCAAAACACUAGGAUCUCGGCCGUUAAAUUUUUUUUUUUAUUAAAACAGGAAGUCCCAUUGACGUCAGAAGUGCUAGCCUGGUCCCAGAUCAGUUUUGGGGUCUCUAAUAGUUUCCUGGCGCAGUUUUACAUUGAUCUAGAGAUUAAAUCCAAAGAAAACGGACGAAGAAAUACACCUGAAAGACCUAGAAGAAAGAAAGGAAGGAUGAUGGUGGAGGGGGAGAACCAGAGAGGGGAGACCCUCAUACCCAGCGAGGGAGAGGGGUCUGGUGGACAGGAGGCCAUCCACAUGGUAAGAACUACCAGGUAUCCAGGACACUACUGAGUGUUGAUGAUAAUAUGUUUGGGACAAGAAGAGGACAUAUAAAAACUGCAUUCUUGAAAAACAACAAAACCCGGAGUCUCUCUAUGGUCUCCUCUGGAUAUUCUUCCAGAAUCAAUUUGGGUAAAUAGGAAAAUAUUUAAAAGUGACCAUUGGAGAGGUUUCCAGAUCCCGGAGUCUACUUGAACAAUAUGAACAAUGUGUUUAUGUUAAAUAUAGUAUGUAAUAUUAUUAUAACACUGUAUCAUGUUAAGGAUAUCAGUAUUUAGUGCUUAUCAGCUUCAUACUAUCUAGAACGGAUGAGUAACAUCACUGGUUCAUUCAGCCUGUCUACUGUUCUGAUCAGUGUAUUUAUGAGAUAAGAGUACCAUUGUCCAGUGAUUUGUCCAGUGAUGUCAGGUAAAGGGUGUGGCACAAUGAUGUCAUCAACAGGUGACUCACCUGUGGCACUGAAGUAGCAAACGCACACACACACCUCCCCGUCUCUCUGUCUGCUAACCACUCUGUCUGCUAAACUCCCCGUCUCUCUGUCUGCUAACCUCCCCGUCUCUCUGUCUGCUAACUUCCCCGUCUCUCUCUCUGCUAACCUCCCCGUCUCUCUGUCUGCUAACCUCCCCGUCUCUCUGUCUGCUAAUCUCCCCGUCUCUCUGUCUGCUAAACCUCCCCGUCUCUCUGUCUGCUAAUCUCCCCGUCUCUCUGUCUGCUAACCUCCCCGUCUCUCUGUCUGCUAACCUCCCCGUUCUCUGUCUGCUAAUCUCCCCGUCUCUCUGUCUGCUAAACCUCCCCGUCUCUCUGUCUGCUAAACAUCCCCGUCUCUCUGUCUACUAAACCUCUCUGUCUGCUAACCUCCCCGGCUCUGUCUGCUAACCUCCCCGGCUCUGUCUGCUAACCUCCCCGUCUCUCUGUCUGCUAACCUCCCCGUCUCUCUGUCUGCUAACCUCCCCGUCUCUCUGUCUGCUAACCUCCCUGUCUCUCUGUCUGCUAACCUCCCCGUCUCUCUGUCUGCUAACCUCCCCGUCUCUCUGUCUACUAAACCUCUGUCUGCUAAUCUCCCCGUCUCUCUGUCUGCUAAACCUCCCCGUCUCUCUGUCUGCUAAACCUCCCCGUCUCUCUGUCUGCUAAACCUCCCCGUCUCUCUGUCUGCUAAACCUCCCCGUCUCUCUGUCUGCUAACCCUCUCCGUUUCUCUGUCUACUCUCUCUCUGUUUUGUCUUUCUUCUUUUUGCUUACACACACACACACACACACACACACACACACACACACACACACACACACACACACACACACACACACACACACACACACACAC
ensembl:lncRNA